rfam:Bombyx mori DNA, contig: Bm_scaf52_contig26843, strain: p50T/Dazao, build 2, whole genome shotgun sequence.
UUAACUCAAAUUUGUAUGGAGUUGGAAUGUUUACAUUCGUUUCCCGGUAGAGGCGUUAUUCCAACUGCAAACAAAUUAGAGUUA